GGACGGGAGGAAAGUAUCCGUUCCGCCAAGGGGGGAAAGGAGGAGCUGGAGACAGAUUGUAGGACCGAGCGCGGGCAGGCGGGAGGCAACGGAGCUACCAGCCGCUCCUCUCUGCUAUAUGAAAUAUGGGAGACGACAGACCGUUUGUGUGCAAUGCCCCGGGCUGUGGACAGAGAUUUACAAACGAGGACCACCUGGCAGUUCAUAAACACAAGCAUGAGAUGACAUUGAAAUUUGGCCCAGCCCGAACUGACUCAGUCAUCAUUGCAGAUCAAACGCCUACUCCAACUAGAUUCCUGAAGAACUGUGAGGAGGUGGGACUCUUCAAUGAACUAGCUAGCUCCUUUGAACAUGAAUUCAAGAAAGCUGCAGAUGAGGAUGAGAAAAAGGCUGCUGCUGGGCCCCUUGACAUGUCUCUGCCUUCCACACCAGACAUCAAAAUCAAAGAAGAAGAGCCAGUGGAGGUAGACUCAUCCCCACCUGAUAGCCCUGCCUCUAGUCCCUGUUCCCCACCACUGAAGGAGAAGGAGGUUACCCCAAAGCCUGUUCUGAUCUCUACCCCCACACCCACCAUUGUACGUCCUGGCUCCCUGCCUCUCCACUUGGGCUAUGAUCCACUUCAUCCAACCCUUCCCUCCCCAACCUCUGUCAUCACACAGGCUCCACCAUCCAACAGGCAAAUGGGGUCUCCCACUGGCUCCCUCCCUCUUGUCAUGCAUCUUGCUAAUGGACAGACCAUGCCUGUGUUGCCAGGGCCUCCAGUACAGAUGCCGUCUGUUAUAUCGCUGGCCAGACCUGUGUCCAUGGUGCCCAACAUUCCUGGUAUCCCUGGCCCACCAGUUAACAGUAGUGGCUCCAUUUCUCCCUCUGGCCACCCUAUACCAUCAGAAGCCAAGAUGAGACUGAAAGCCACCCUAACUCACCAAGUCUCCUCAAUCAAUGGUGGUUGUGGAAUGGUGGUGGGUACUGCCAGCACCAUGGUGACAGCCCGCCCAGAGCAGAGCCAGAUUCUCAUCCAGCACCCUGAUGCCCCAUCCCCUGCCCAGCCACAGGUCUCACCAGCUCAGCCCACCCCUAGUACUGGGGGGCGACGGCGGCGCACAGUAGAUGAAGAUCCAGAUGAGCGACGGCAGCGCUUUCUGGAGCGCAACCGGGCUGCAGCCUCCCGCUGCCGCCAAAAGCGAAAGCUGUGGGUGUCCUCCCUAGAGAAGAAGGCCGAAGAACUCACUUCUCAGAACAUUCAGCUGAGUAAUGAAGUCACAUUACUACGCAAUGAGGUGGCCCAGUUGAAACAGCUACUGUUAGCUCAUAAAGACUGCCCAGUCACUGCACUACAGAAAAAGACUCAAGGCUAUUUAGAAAGCCCCAAGGAAAGCUCAGAGCCAACGGGUUCUCCAGCCCCUGUGAUUCAGCACAGCUCAGCAACAGCCCCUAGCAAUGGCCUCAGUGUUCGCUCUGCAGCUGAAGCUGUGGCCACCUCGGUCCUCACUCAGAUGGCCAGCCAAAGGACAGAACUGAGCAUGCCGAUACAAUCGCAUGUAAUCAUGACCCCACAGUCCCAGUCUGCGGGCAGAUGAUGCCUCCUCUGGUGGAGAGGUCCUCAGCCAGAGCUCGCCCGCCCAAGAGCCAAGAGAGAUGUCAUCUUAUCCCCUCCCAUCUGCCUUGGACAUGGCAAUAUGGGUGGGGGGAAUUGUGUGUUGCAAAUCUGAGUAGCCUCCAAGAGGCACACAAGCAGAGGAUGGGCUGUGUUGCCCUGACUGCCAGCCCCAGGCACAGAGGACCAGGCCUGGUCAUCCUCACAGACUCUGACCCUGGCUCUUCCCACUCCUCUUCCACUCCAGGACAUCCUACUUAACCCCUCCUGACAUGAGUUUCUUGUGCUUUAGUCUACAGGAGGAAGACAGCGAACCCCUCCCACCACAGGAUGCCCAGACCUCUGGGUCACUGUUGCACUACCUGCUCCAGGCAAUGGAGAGACCUGGCCGGAGCCAAGCCUUCCUGUUUCAGCCCCAGAGGUUUGGCAGAAAUACCCAGGGAUCCUGGAGGAAUGAAUGGCUGAGUCCCCGGGCUGGAGAGGGGCUGAAUUCCCAGUUCUGGAGCCUGGCUGCCCCUCAACGCUUUGGGAAGAAGUGACAUGUCAUCCCUUGAUAUGUCUGCAUGCAAGGUCCACACCCAAAAGUGUCAAUGUUUGCCCCCCAAAUAAAAUUGUCUGGCUUCUGAA